GGGCCCGUAGCUCAAUUGGCCAGAGCGCUUCAAUGGCAUUGAAGAGGUAAGGGGUUCAAAUCCCCUCGGGUCCA
rnacentral:tRNA from 1 species